UUUUUGAGUGAUUUCAGUUAGAUCAAAACAGGUCAUAAAGCGACUUCACCGUGAUUGCACAGUUUGAUAAUAGUUUAACUGUUAUCCUAUUUUCAUUUAUUUCGUUAAUUGUCCAAAGUCAGUUUUUUGCUGAGUGCCUGAAUCAAUAAGAGGUAAAAAUUGCCUUUGUGUUUCCUUAAAAGCGUUUUCAAUUAACUGUUGCUUAACAUCAGUUAAACGGUUACUUAAUCAGACGUAUCAUUGUAUUUGAAUUUAUUGUGCCUGCUUUAUUCUGAGUAUGGAUGCCGGAGUCCAGUACAAAUUCUCAGCUAAGUGGUUGGUUUUUAUUACUAAUAAUCUUCUUUAAAGCUGCGAUAAGUUCUGCAUAACUUGCCUACUCUUUUGCAUUUUGGUACAAUUGUUCUAUGCUCUGAUACGUUUUGUUAAUUGUCAAUAUUUAUUGCACGUUCCU